CCUACGGGGGGCAGCAGUGGGGAAUAUUGGACAAUGGGGGGAACCCUGAUCCAGCCAUGCCGCGUGUGUGAAGAAGGCCCUCGGGUUGUAAAGCACUUUCAGUGAGGAAGAACGCCUGGUGGUUAAUACCCAUCAGGAAAGACAUCACUCACAGAAGAAGCACCGGCUAACUCCGUGCCAGCAGCCGCGGUGAUACGGAGGGUGCGAGCGUUAAUCGGAAUUACUGGGCGUAAAGCGCGCGUAGGUGGCUUGAUAAGCCGGUUGUGAAAGCCCCGGGCUCAACCUGGGAACGGCAUCCGGAACUGUCAAGCUAGAGUGCAGGAGAGGAAGGUAGAAUUCCCGGUGUAGCGGUGAAAUGCGUAGAGAUCGGGAGGAAUACCAGUGGCGAAGGCGGCCUUCUGGACUGACACUGACACUGAGGUGCGAAAGCGUGGGUAGCAAACAGGAUUAGAUACCCCAGUAGUC
rnacentral:rRNA from 1 species